rnacentral:rRNA from 1 species
AUUGAACGCUGGCGGCAGGCCUAACACAUGCAAGUCGAACGAGUGGCGGACGGGUGAGUAAUGUCUGGGAAACUGCCUGUUGGAGGGGGAUAACUACUGGAAACGGUAGCUAAUACCGCAUACCCUCAGAUGUGCCCAGAUGGGAUUAGCUGGGUGGUGGGGUAACGGCUCACCAAGGCGACGAUCCCUAGCUGGUCUGAUAGGAUGACCAGCCAAACUGGAACUGAGAUACGGUCCAGACUCCUCCGGACGGCAGCAGUGGGGAAGAUUGCACAAGGGGCGUAAGCCUGAUGCAGCAAUGCCGCGUGUAUGAAGAAGGCCUUCGGGUUGUAAAGUACUUUCAGCGGGGAGGCGUUACCCGCAGAAGAAGCACCGGCUAACGCCGUGCCAGCAGCCGCGGUAAUUC